UUGCUCAUAAAAUAGUACUAUAUACAUACCUGUAGGGUGAUGUAAUUGUAGUUCUAAAAUAACUUUGUCUUUUUAAACAGAUUUUCAACAUGGAACAUUUGUAAUAGUUUACAAUUGUUGAUGCACCCUUUAUAAGUUACCAGUGGACUGACGUGUAAAACCUCUGGCAUCGCACACAAAGUGGUUAUGAGCCAUCCAGGCACGGCUACUUGAAUAUUGGGGAGUCCCCAAUGAAGGGGCUACGUGGGGUUCACUGGGUCACAAUCCAGUGCCCAUGCUCAGAAGGUUGCUGGUUGGAAUCCCAGGGCACAAAAUGUGAUAUCACUGUCUGGCCCCUGAGCAAGACCCUCAACCCAAACUGCUCUAGCGACUAGCUGAUUCCGCUCACUGAAUUGUAUACUGCUUUAAGGAAUAAAGGUGCGUACAGAAGCAGCGCCCCCCUGAAUGACGCUGCGUUGGCGUUGCCGUUAUCGGCAGACGCGCACUUCCUGGAACCUACUGAUGUAACCACUUCAGAGCAGAAAACCUGCCUACUCGCUGGCACACAGCAGUCAAGGGCCACACACACACUGUGACUGUUAUAGUGUGAAGCAAAACGACGACCCCAUUUGUCAGAAGAAAUGUCAACAAAAAUACUUUUUAAACUAUAAAACACACAGAACUGAUAGGCUAGCGACUGCAUUCCGUUUCGAUAUUUAUUAAUAAUACAAAUUUUAAAAGUAUUAUAAAAAAGAAACAUUUGUGAAGCUACGCAUCAUUUUAAAACGCUGUGCUACUGCAGGUUGGGUGGCAAUUUAGCUUUAUUUAGGAAAUCAUCCUAUUGAGCUGUUGAAACUGAAUACAAAUACAGUACAGGCAUGCACAUACCUCAUAGGCCGAACUUAUUCAAAAUGUAUCACUUUUAAUUAUAUUACUUUGUUAUAACGUUAUCGCAAUUCAUAUUCACGGAUAGGCCUUUCUAUAGAAAUUAUAUAAACACACCCAGGUUUGAACUUAUAUAUUAGAAAAAGUUUGAAAAAUAUACUUUAAAUAUAUAAUUACCACAAUUGUGGUUACAAACUGUGUACCUUAUACAAUAAAGGUAACAUACCUUUCUUAUAUUACCAUAAUGCAUCUCGAUCGCCUAGGCUAAAACAUAUAUAUAUAUAGACAAAUACAUGCGUCAACAAUAAAUCAAUAAAUUAAUAUCACAUAAAAAGCCAUAAAUACGAAAUCAAUUAUUGCAACCAACUAAGCUGAACGUACAACAAAAGCAUCCUGGGUAACUGAUCAAUUCGUGAGAUACAGUGCGUGUCUUCUCAGCAGAACUUGGCUAGGAAGUCGAAAAGAAUAUCAAUUUCCCCCAUCGCUUUCGUCUGCGCCCUUUUCCCCAUCUGAAAAAAAAGUAAAUUAAAUUAGAUAUGUUUUUGUUUCUAAUAAAUGAAGAGCAUCGUUCUGAA